GCACAAAAUAAACUUUUUGAGUCUUUCAAUGAUUUUAUUGAAAUCAAAACUGCUGUUGCAUCUAUGACAUGUUUGCUCAGUGAAGUGUUUUCUAAUAAUCCUUCACUUUGUAAAAGACUAUCUGAAAAUGAUAUCAGGAAGUUAUUUUUUAUGUCCAUUAGGAGCAGUAAUCCUGAGCACUAUGAAUUAACCGUCACAUUGCAAACCAUUAUACAGAAUACAGAGCCAGCC